rnacentral:rRNA from 1 species
AUUAAACGCUGGCGGCAUGCCUUACACAUGCAAGUCGAACGGCAGCAUGGUCUAGCUUGCUAGACUGAUGGCGAGUGGCGAACGGGUGAGUAACGCGUAGGAAUAUACCUUAUAGAGGGGGAUAACCUGGGGAAACUCAGGCUAAUACCGCAUGUUAUCUAAGGAUUAAAGCUGGGGACCUUAGGGCCUGGCGCUAUAAGAAUAGCCUGCGUCCGAUUAGCUAGUUGGUGGGGUAAAGGCCUACCAAGGCGACGAUCGGUAGCUGGUCUGAGAGGAUGAUCAGCCACACUGGGACUGAGACACGGCCCAGACUCCUACGGGAGGCAGCAGUGGGGAAUAUUGGACAAUGGGGGCAACCCUGAUCCAGCAAUGCCGCGUGUGUGAAGAAGGCCUGAGGGUUGUAAAGCACUUUCAGCGAGGAGGAAGGUUGUAUGGUUAAUACCCAUGCGAUUUGACGUUACUCGCAGAAGAAGCACCGG